rnacentral:pre_miRNA from 1 species
AGUGGGAUAGCUGGGUCAAAUGGUGGUGCCAUUCCCAGUUUUCCAAGGAAUCUCCUUACUGCUUUCCAAACCGGUCACACCAUUUUGUAAUCCCACCAGCAAU